AUUGAACGCUGGCGGCAUGCCUAACACAUGCAAGUCGAACGGAAACGACGAAAACAAUCCCUUCGGGGUGCGUCUUCGGGCGUCGAGUGGCGGACGGGUGCGUAACGCGUAGGAAUCUACCUUUUAGUGGGGGACAACUCGGGGAAACUCGAGCUAAUACCGCAUAAGCCUUACGAGGGAAAGCAGGGGAUCUUCGGACCUUGUGCUAUUAGAUGAGCCUGCGUCGGAUUAGCUUGUUGGUGAGGUAAUGGCUCACCAAGGCGACGAUCCGUAGCUGGUCUGAGAGGAUGAUCAGCCACACUGGGACUGAGACACGGCCCAGACUCCUACGGGAGGCAGCAGUGGGGAAUAUUGGACAAUGGGCGCAAGCCUGAUCCAGCAAUGCCGCGUGUGUGAAGAAGGCCUUAGGGUUGUAAAGCACUUUUCAGUAGGGAAGAAAAGCACAGGAUUAAUACUCCUGUGUCUUGACGGUACCUACAGAAGAAGCACCGG
rnacentral:rRNA from 1 species